rnacentral:rRNA from 1 species
GAUGAACGCUGGCGGCGUGCCUAAUACAUGCAAGUCGAGCGAAUGGAUUAAGAGCUUGCUCUUAUGAAGUUAGCGGCGGACGGGUGAGUAACACGUGAGUAACCUGCCCAUAAGACUGGGAUAACUCCGGGAAACCGGGGCUAAUACCGGAUAAUAUUUUGAACUGCAUGGUUCAAAAUUGAAAGGCGGCUUCGGCUGUCACUUAUGGAUGGACCCGCGUCGCAUUAGCUAGUUGGUGAGGUAACGGCUCACCAAGGCAACGAGGCGUAGCCGACCUGGGAGGGUGAUCGGCCACACUGGGACUGAGACACGGCCCAGACUCCUACGGGAGGCAGCAGUAGGGAAUCUUCCGCAAUGGACGAAAGUCUGACGGAGCAACGCCGCGUGAGUGAUGAAGGCUUUCGGGUCGUAAAACUCUGUUGUUAGGGAAGAACAAGUGCUAGUUGAAUAAGCUGGCUCCUUGACGGUACCUAACCAGAAAGCCACGGCUAACUACGUGCCAGCCGCCGCCGUAA